CAGCAGCCGCGGGAAUACGAAGGGGGCUAGCGUUGUUCGGAAUUACUGGGCGUAAAGCGCACGUAGGCGGAAAUUUAAGUCAGGGGUGAAAUCCCGAGGCUCAACCUCGGAACUGCCUUUGAUACUGGGUUUCUUGAGUCCGGAAGAGGUGAGUGGAACUGCGAGUGUAGAGGUGAAAUUCGUAGAUAUUCGCAAGAACACCAGUGGCGAAGGCGGCUCACUGGUCCGGAACUGACGCUGAGGUGCGAAAGCGUGGGGAGCAAACAGGAUUAGAUACCCCAGUAGUCCCUGUCUCUUAUAC
rnacentral:rRNA from 1 species